UACAGAGGGCCCAAGCGUUGUUCGGAUUCACUGGGCGUAAAGGGUGCGUAGGCGGUUUGACAAGUCUGAUGUGAAAUCCCGCAGCUUAACUGCGGAACUGCAUUGGAAACUGUUUGACUAGAGGAAUGGAGGGGAGACUGGAAUACUUGGUGUAGCAGUGAAAUGCGUAGAUAUCAAGUGGAACACCAGUGGCGAAGGCGAGUCUCUGGACAUUUCCUGACGCUGAGGCACGAAAGCCAGGGGAGCAAACGGG
rnacentral:rRNA from 1 species